GACCCCUAAUCGGGGUUGCGGACAGUGCCUGGUGGGUAGUUUGACUGGGGCGGUCUCCUCCCAAAGAGUAACGGAGGAGCACGAAGGUGGGCUAAUCACGGUUGGACAUCGUGAGGUUAGUGCAAUGGCAUAAGCCCGCUUGACUGCGAGAAUGACAAUUCGAGCAGGUGCGAAAGCAGGUCAUAGUGAUCCGGUGGUUCUGAAUGGAAGGGCCAUCGCUCAACGGAUAAAAGGUACUCCGGGGAUAACAGGCUGAUACCGCCCAAGAGUUCAUAUCGACGGCGGUGUUUGGCACCUCGAUGUCGGCUCAUCACAUCCUGGGGCUGAAGUCGGUCCCAAGGGUAUGGCUGUUCGCCAUUUAAAGUGGUACGCGAGCUGGGUUUAGAACGUCGUGAGACAGUUCGGUCCCUAUCUGCCGUGGGCGUUGGAAGAUUGAAGGGGGCUGCUCCUAGUACGAGAGGACCGGAGUGGACGAACCUCUGGUGUUCGGGUUGUGUCGCCAGACGCAUUGCCCGGUAGCUAAGUUCGGAAUCGAUAACCGCUGAAAGCAUCUAAGCGGGAAGCGAGCCCUGAGAUGAGUCUUCCCUGAUACUUUAAGUAUCCUAAAGGGUUGUCGGAGACUACGACGUUGAUAGGUCAGGUGUGUAAGUGCUGUGAGGCAUUGAGCUAACUGAUACUAAUUGCCCGUGAGGCUUAACCAUACAACACCCAAGGGGUUU
rnacentral:rRNA from 1 species